UUGAAAGGGAAACGAUUGAAGUCAGUCAUGCCGGUGGGAAUCAACUUAGGGGAAACUCUAGGUGCACUUCUUCGCUUGGCAGGUCAACGUCGAUUUUGAAUGUCAUAAAAUAAUUGGGGGAAGGUAGCUCCUUCGGGAGUGUUAUAGCCCUUGAUAGAUGUGAUGUUUGGGGUCGAGGAUUGCAACGGAUACNCUCNUGGGNUUAGCCGCCUGAUCUCUAAUCGGUGUUGGGUUACGGAUAGCAUGCUGACCGUGAUCUAAUUACUGGUUAAAAGGUUAGAGCAUGCAUAAAUUCGUUAAGGAUGUUGACGUA
rnacentral:rRNA from 1 species